AUGAAUCUCCUUGCCUGGAACUGUCGGGGACUGGGGUUGGACUCAACAGUUGGCGAACUCAGAGACCUGAUAAGGUCCUACAACCUAGCGAUGGUCUUUUUGAGUGAAACAAAGAAAAGUGUGAGGGCUAUGGAGAGACUGAAAUGGAGUCUUGGGUUCAAGGAUGGAGUUGCAGUGGGUUGUAAUGGGAAAAGUGGGGGUACGGCUUUGUGG
rnacentral:rRNA from 1 species